CUCAACCCCGGAACUGCUUCGGAUACUGGAGAGCUUGAGUGCUCUAGAGGGCAGUGGAAUUCCCGGUGUAGCAGUGAAAUGCGUAGAGAUCGGGAGGAACACCAGUGGCGAAGGCGACUGCCUGGGGAGUAACUGGCGCUGAGGCGCGAAAGCUGGGGGAGCAAACGGGAUUAGAUACCCCGGUAGUCCCAGCCGUAAACGAUGAGUGCUAGGUGUAGCGGGUAUCGACCCCCGCUGUGCCGCAGUUAACGCACUAAGCACUCCGCCUGGGGAGUACGGCCGCAAGGUUGAAACUCAAAGGAAUUGACGGGGGCCCGCACAAGCAGCGGAGCAUGUGGUUUAAUUCGAAGCAACGCGUAGAACCUUACCAGGGCUUGACAUGUAGGGAAUCCAGCAGAGAUGCGGGAGUGCCUGUUCGCAGGAACCC
rnacentral:rRNA from 1 species